AUUGAACGCUGGCGGCAGGCCUAACACAUGCAAGUCGAGCGAGCGGCGGACGGGUGAGUAAUGUAUGGGGACUGCCCGAUAGAGGGGGAUAACUACUGGAAACGGUGGCUAAUACCGCAUACUAUCGGAUAACCCAUAUGGGAUUCGCUAGUAGGUGGGGUAAAGGCUCACCUAGGCGACGAUCUCUAGCUGGUCUGAGAGGAUGAUGAGCCACACGGGGACUGAGACACGGCCCAGAGUCCAGCGGAGGCAGCAGGGGGGAAGAGUGCAAAAGGGGCGCAAGCCUGAUGCAGCAAUGCCGGGUGUAUGAAGAAGGCCUUAGGGUUGUAAAGUACUUUCAGCGGGGAGGCGUUACCCGCAGAAGAAGCACCGGCUAACUCCGUGCCAGCAGCCGCGGUAAUUC
rnacentral:rRNA from 1 species